UAGUUUAUUUUCUAUUGUUUUUUAAAUUGAUCGACAUAUAGGAUAAUGAUAAAGUCAUUUUAUGUAUCCAUUUUAGAGUAGUUUUACAUCUAUUUUACACUUUAAAUAAAUUUAGUAGUUUAAUGUUUUUAACCUUUGUUUUAGUUAAAUUGUUGAUUUUAUUUCUUUAAUAAUUAAUUUAUGAAUUUUUUAUGUUUUCAAUAGGUUUAAUGUGAUUUAAAGAGUAAAGGUUCAUUUGGAGGUGAUUCUUGGUGAAUUGGAAGCCAAAAGAUGUGAAAAAGCAAAAGAAAUUAAGUUCAAGGAGAAGAGAAACAAAAAUUUGCAUAAGCUCCAGCACUAGGCAUGUUGAGGGUCAUGCAGCAUUCAGCACAAAGCAUGAUAGAAAACAUUGAAUUAAGUAUUAGGCAUGUUGAAUGAUGCUGAAAAUGCUGCUGAUUUGAAAAAAUUUAACACCUCACAUCUUUUAUAUCUUUUGUCUUUAUCUCCUUUUAGUUUAUUAUAGGGCAAACUUUUGAACACACAUAUAUGCAUAUACAUUUUUUUUUUCUCAUUUUAAGCCACUAGAAAUAACUAGGAAAAGAAGAGAAUGAGGAGAAAAGAAAGAACAAUGAGAAAAAGAAGAAAUAGAUUAAGAAGAGGGAAG
rnacentral:misc_RNA from 1 species